GAGUAUAGCCAGUCCCACUCUAUGGCAUAGGACACCACCCUGAACACGCUCGAUCUUGUCCUAUUUUAGAAAGGGUCGGGCCUGGUUAGUACUUGGAUGGGGGACCACCUGUGAAUAGCAGGUGCUGUAAGUU
rnacentral:rRNA from 1 species